GCCGGGGUGGGGUAGCUUGGUUAUCCUACGGGACUGUGGAUCCUGCGACUCGGGUUCGAAUCUCGGCCCCGGCC
rnacentral:tRNA from 1 species